GGCGGCAGGCCUAACACAUGCAAGUCGAGCGGUAGCACAGAGAGCUUGCUCUCGGGUGACGAGCGGCGGACGGGUGAGUAAUGUCUGGGAAACUGCCUGAUGGAGGGGGAUAACUACUGGAAACGGUAGCUAAUACCGCAUAACGUCGCAAGACCAAAGUGGGGGACCUUCGGGCCUCAUGCCAUCAGAUGUGCCCAGAUGGGAUUAGCUAGUAGGUGGGGUAACGGCUCACCUAGGCGACGAUCCCUAGCUGGUCUGAGAGGAUGACCAGCCACACUGGAACUGAGACACGGUCCAGACUCCUACGGGAGGCAGCAGUGGGGAAUAUUGCACAAUGGGCGCAAGCCUGAUGCAGCCAUGCCGCGUGUGUGAAGAAGGCCUUCGGGUUGUAAAGCACUUUCAGCGGGGAGGAAGGCGAUAAGGUUAAUAACCUUGUCGAUUGACGUUACCCGCAGAAGAAGCACCGGCUAACUCCGUGCCAGCAGCCGCGGUAAUACGGAGGGUGCAAGCGUUAAUCGGAAUUACUGGGCGUAAAGCGCACGCAGGCGGUCUGUCAAGUCGGAUGUGAAAUCCCCGGGCUCAACCUGGGAACUGCAUUCGAAACUGGCAGGCUAGAGUCUUGUAGAGGGGGGUAGAAUUCCAGGUGUAGCGGUGAAAUGCGUAGAGACCUGGAGGAAUACCGGUGGCGAAGGCGGCCCCCUGGACAAAGACUGACGCUCAGGUGCGAAAGCGUGGGGAGCAAACAGGAUUAGAUACCCUGGUAGUCCACGCCGUAAACGAUGUCGAUUUGGAGGUUGUGCCCUUGAGGCGUGGCUUCCGGAGCUAACGCGUUAAAUCGACCGCCUGGGGAGUACGGCCGCAAGGUUAAAACUCAAAUGAAUUGACGGGGGCCCGCACAAGCGGUGGAGCAUGUGGUUUAAUUCGAUGCAACGCGAAGAACCUUACCUGGUCUUGACAUCCACAGAACUUUCCAGAGAUGGAUUGGUGCCUUCGGGAACUGUGAGACAGGUGCUGCAUGGCUGUCGUCAGCUCGUGUUGUGAAAUGUUGGGUUAAGUCCCGCAACGAGCGCAACCCUUAUCCUUUGUUGCCAGCGGUCCGGCCGGGAACUCAAAGGAGACUGCCAGUGAUAAACUGGAGGAAGGUGGGGAUGACGUCAAGUCAUCAUGGCCCUUACGACCAGGGCUACACACGUGCUACAAUGGCAUAUACAAAGAGAAGCGACCUCGCGAGAGCAAGCGGACCUCAUAAAGUAUGUCGUAGUCCGGAUUGGAGUCUGCAACUCGACUCCAUGAAGUCGGAAUCGCUAGUAAUCGUAGAUCAGAAUGCUACGGUGAAUACGUUCCCGGGCCUUGUACACACCGCCCGUCACACCAUGGGAGUGGGUUGCAAAAGAAGUAGGUAGCUUAACCUUCGGGAGGGCGCUUACCACUUUGUGAUUCAUGACUGGGGUGAAAUC
rnacentral:rRNA from 1 species